GAGUGCAGUAGUGCAUCAGUGAUGGUAUUUUCAUGUUCUGUGAGUUUUGCAAUGUAUAAAUGUUCGCCUUCUUCUAUUCCCUCUGUUUGCAGGUGGUGUGAGGACUGCUGCCCUCCUAAUAGUUAUUGUCCAAUUAGCUUUGUUGCAGUACCACGCUUCAUCCUAAUAGAGCGGCACUCAUCCUCCUGCCAAUCAUUUUUAAAGAGAGUGUGAAUCAUCACAUCAUAAUGGGAGAGGAUGAACCCAACACACCGUAUCCAGUUGUCCAGGUGACCCAAGAAGACUGGAAGUCUACGUUUGAGGGACAAAGCCACUGCUCACUUAUUGUAGACCGGGUCAGGGUGUGUGAGGCCAUCA